rnacentral:lncRNA from 1 species
CAGGAGCUCAGCUACACCGUCGUCUUCUGGCGCCGGGUGCAGCUCGUAGUAGCCGUCGGCGAGACGCAGCUCUACACGAAUGCAAUGCAUUGGUUAGCAUAGACGGUUAUUUCAACAGCAACACUUGCAAGUCUGAGCCUAGAAACUUGCGACAAGUUACAGGAGGGUGGGGAGGUUCAAUGGAGUUGAUGGAGAUCAAGAGGUAAGGGUCGGAGGGAAAGAACUUAUGAUCUGACCCUUAAUCUAGAGGGUUUGAUGUACUAGGGGUCCUCAGACUCAACGCUGAAAGGUCCCCAAGUUUUGCACAUACACCCUCGGUUCAAAGAAAAAGAUACAGCCGAACCCUUGGGCGAGGCGGAGAAGGGUCGGCGGAACAGACAGGGUCGGGCGAGACAGAACCGGGGUCGGGCGGAUAAGAGGGGUCGGGCGGAUAAGAGGGGUCGGGCGAAGCGAACAAGGGUCGGCAGCCUACCUUCGUCUUACAGAGGAGGCUUGGGCAGAAGAACUAAGGGCUUGGGACGGCGGCGAGAAUGUCCGGCGGCAGCGGUGCUUCUUGUGGAUCACAAGCAAGCUCUUGGGUAGCACUGAAAGCAGUGGCUGGCGGAUCGGGGGAAAGCGGUGGUGCUUGAGCAGAGAGGAGAGUUCCUCAGACUUAGGUGGCGGCGCUGUGAGCUCGAACAGGGAGCAAGAGAGAUGGCAGCUAGGGCAAGGGAAACUCCAGCGGGGCUUGCGCAUCCCGUUUUAUAGCUGCGCGGAAGAGGGAAGGGGGAGCGGCGCGAAGGCCGGGGAAGAAGCGAUGGAGUGCUCUGCCCGGGCGGCGAUUGAGCGACGAGGGCGGUGAAGCAGGACUUCGGGGAUGACGCCGGCGGUCAUUGGGCACUGACGUCAGGGCGGCGCAGGCGCGGGUUUGCCAGUGGUUGAGAUUUGGCGGAGGCGGGCGUCGUCGUGCGGUGGAUCUGAUGGAAGUGACCGGGAAAACGGCGCUAGGAUCGAGGGCGCACAGGUGAGAAGACAGGCGGCUGCGGGCGCGCGGGUGAGCGCGGAGCAACAGAUUGUCGGGGCGGCUUCUGACAGGACGGAAAAAGGAGCUGUCGCUGCCGCGGUCUGGGUUGACGGAGGAGGAAUCGUCGUGUAGCGAAGACCGGGACGGCGCGACUGUGGCGAGGUGAUGGAAAAGACGGGCGGCAUCGGGCUCUGCGGCCGGGGUCUGGCGAUGUGAUGAUGGGCGCGGGCGGCGAGGUACUGCAGAAAGGGUUGCAGAGGGGCUUCUACCGCGAUUGGGGAAGGGGGCGCGAGAAUCCAUCUGGUCGCGGGCCGGAGACGAGGCGGAGCGGCGGAUGUCGGAGGAGUUGAGCCACGCGGCGGGGAAAAACUGAAGCGGGCAUGCAACUCGAGUGCGCCUGUCGCGGGAGAUCUGGGGGAAAAGAUCUAGUGGGCCCACCGGUCAGUCUCGGUGGUCCACUGCUCGAACUGGAGGGCGAUGCUGCGGGGUGGCUUAGGAAGAUCCGACGGUGGGUUGGGGGUCGGCGGGGUCAGAACUGGGAAGCCACGGCGAGGGGUCGGAUCGCAGGGGUCGGAAGAGCUGGAGGUUGAACACUUAGACUUGGAAAAACUAAGACAGGUGAUCAGGGGCUCGGAUUAAGAUUGACGCGAAGGAUUUUUAUCCGAGGCCGUCACAGGGGCCGAAUGGGAAUUUUGGGCAGCAGUCAUUCCAGCGCCCGGCUCAGUAGUUCCAGCGCCCCAACCCCCAGUUCCAGUGCCUAGGGAUGCAGACUCCACGCCCUAGUUUCCCGCAGAAUCGCUAGUGGUGUCGCCGUUAUCUUUGAAGUCCGCUGCGUAAUAAAUUUUCUGACUUGUAUGUUACUGAGACUUUCGGUCAUAUAAUAUCGUUAGUAGUCUCUUUAUUUGAUUUGGCACUGUUUUUGAUAUUCACUUAUGUCAUACAUGUGUGUAACUUGAUCCUGACGCACAUGUAUUUAUUGCACUCGGAUUUGCCUUAAAUCCAGAUGUGACAGCCGACCCCUGCACCAACUAAGAUGGCCGGAUAGGUGUCUACCAUCGCUGCCAGUUGAUUCGUCAACCUUCUCUUAGUUGUGCUCAUGUUAUUAAGUGUUAAAGAUCCUAAGCUAAGUUUAAGUAAUGUGGUUUCCUACAAAAGAUGCACAAGAAUUGUUGUGCUGAUACUACCACUCGUUGUGCCAUGUUGCAACAGAUUUGCUUAUGUGUGGAACUCCUACCUAUCGGCAACAGUCUUUUUUUGCUAUACUGAUCAACAUCCAAGCCAAUACCGAUGCAUUAAUCACGCACACAUGCAAAUCCCUUAAUUUUCCUCCCUGCGACUUAAUACGAUCAUUGGAAUGAGAACACGCCUACGAAUUUGGCAAAAGUGAAAAAUCAUGAUACAUUAAGAAUUAGGCCUCGAGGGCUCUAUCCUUCAUGCCUUCAAUGACUAUUGCCUAAGGGAAAGGGAACUAUAUUUAUGUCAUAUGUUUUCAUUACUAUACUUGUUGCAGUUAAAGUGUACUGGAAUUUGAAAGAAAAUAGGGAUUACAGAAUUAGAUUGUUAUCAUUACUCACUGUCACACCUAAAAAAACAUCUUAGGACCUUUUUGGAUAACCUGUGCUAAAGUUUAGCACAGUGUUAAAUUUUAGCACCCUCAAAUGGAGGGCUAAAGUUUAGUAUAUUGGGAUGUUUGGAUAGUAUGCUAAACUUUAGUAUCUAUGUUGAUAAAAAACUUAUUUACCCCUUAUUUUCCUCCUCUCCUUUACCCCCUUAUUUUCCUCCUCUCCUUUACUCCUCCUCAACUUCUUCCUUCAGCUUCCCCUCCAUCUCCUGCUUUUCUGAGACUGGACGGCACUCACCGGCGAAUUUCUAGGCCGCCGCUGCAGGGGGUAGGUGGACCAAGGCUUCUCCGGUGGGGGUCCCUGCCUGCUGCCGCGCGAGAGCAGAUAGUAGAUCGGAUUUGGCCUGGGUUCUUGCUGCGCCUGUGCUUCCUGCUACUUGAUCUGGUUCCCGUAGGAACAGGGCCGCCAUCAUUUUUCUUGGACAUGGCCGCCGGAUCCGCAUGCGGGCAGGGCCCGACUGUAGCGGAGGCCUAGCGUGGCGCAGGCUCCGGGCGUGGCCGGGCCUGUGCCGAGCGCUGCUCCUGCCCCGUGCCACGCCCGCCGCAGCCGAGCUCGUCGCCGCGUGCAGGCACUUCCUCGACCUCUGCCGGUUCCUCCGCCUCGCUAGCACCGGUGAAGGACGCGCAGGCUCGAGCGCAGCAGGCUCAGGCAGCCACGGCGGAGGCAUAUGCUCCUUUCCCAUGGUGGCGAGGCCGAGCCUGCUCCCGGCGACUCGCCCCAACUCGUCGUGUCCACCUCCUCGUCCGGCGGAGGAGCCAGCGCAGCGGCCUGGGCUUAGAGGCCGCGGUCACCGGCGACGCGGAGCCCGACCCCAACGGAGGCUACGAGGCCGGGCGGAGGAGGCGGGGCCGAGCGGAGGAGGCGUGGCCCGCGAAGGUGGCGGAGCCGGGCGGAGGAGGACGGCGGGCGGGGUGUGGCGGGGAGGAAAGAGAGGGGGACAACCAAGGAAAAUGUUGAUGGGAUCACUUUUAGCAGGUUUAGCAAGUUUUAAUACUUCUUGGAAUUGUGAAAGAAAAAUGAGGUGCUAAAUUUUAGCACACACCUUUUAGCACCCUUAUUUGGGAGCCCAUGUGCUAAAAGGGUGCUAAAAGUGGGGUGUUAAAGUUAACACCCCUUUCCAAACAGGCCCUUAUAUAUCUAAAAUAUAGUUUACUAAAUAAACAACACGCAAACAAUUCAUUUUUGGUGAAUAUACCGAGGUUGGUAUUGGCAGUGACGCACCUUGGCCUGUUUGUUCAGGGUGCCUUUACAUCUCUUAAGAUACACCUAUGGUCGGCACCCGAUAGACAUGUAGCGCUGCAAGAAGAUCAAAGGCCCCAGGCUUCUCUAAGCUUUCAACUGAAGAACAGAACUGGCACAGUCAUGCAGAUUACAUUGAGUGAGAAGACAUGAUAACAACUCAGCUAGCUGGGCAUCUAGAAUGUAGCACACAUGGGGCCAUAUUCUCUUAUCUGUUCCUACAGAGAUUAGUAGAGUAGUUGGGGUAGAGAGGUCUUAGAGCCAACAUAAUUAUGAAAUGCAAUUAAAAGGAUUUAACAAAAUAAAAUGCUAACAUCCUCCUCCCAUAGGCACGUACUGGUGGUGUAGUGAUAUAGUUAACAAAUCAACAUCAAAUGUGUUGAUCAAGCAUGUAUGUGACUGUUGAUCAUGCAAAUUGGUGCUUAUGUUCAAAUUACGAUCACGGAGAGGAAAUUCAUGAUACCUUUAACACUGCCGCACGUCGCAACAGAAAAUGAGCGUCCAUGCACCAGAACCAACAAAAUCCCUUCGUGCUUCAAUCCUGAUCAUGAAAAUAUAAUCAAAGGCUUCGGUGAAGGUAUAGUUAGUAUAUGGAAUAUAAUAGGCAUCAAAAACAAAGGUGGCAGAAGGAAAGAAAGUCCCUGGAGGUCACUUGAAGAAAGCAGACUAUCAAACCUGACUGUAGGAAGAAAACUCUGUAGAUGUGGAAGCUCCUAGCAGGGUUAAGUCCAAAGUGUUCUUCUGGAUGAGUUAAAUGGAUCUACCGAAUCAUAGACACCAGCACACACAACCUCCAACGUCCAGGGCAUUAUGGAUUUUCUCACUAGUGAUGGCCCAAAAUUUUGCAUGACAGAAAAUGUAGUCCUCUGGGUGGAUAUAUACCAUCCACAUGAAUAUCAAGUACCUAAAAUAUAAUGUUUUUAAAAAGAACAAUCAUAGAAAAGGUUCCUACGUCGAGUUCAAGAUCCUUCAACAUAUAUUUUUCGCAUUUGAUCUGGAUUUCAAGCAGGCAUAUACUUACACGGACUUUAGUUUACCCUUAAAACAUAUCAUUCAAAUAGUAUGCUUUAAACUACUACAAUUAAUCAAACCAUGUCGUCCAUAAUUCCACACCGCCAAUUAAGACGGCAAUGCAUGAGACGUUAUUAGCCAUUUGCUUAUAAUAACCAGUACUAUUGAGAAUAAACUAGCAGGUGAGCGCCAACGUGGAAUCGCCUCUUUUGAUAAUCUGAACGCUACUGGAACGCAACGUGGAAUCGCCCACUGGAUGCAAAGAUUUACCUUGCCAAACAGGUACUGAUUGAUAUUACUAGUACCUUCAUCUUCUCCUCACAGACGAGGAGGUUCAUCAUACGACGGGAGGAGCGAUGGGAUCCGGGUUGCGACGCGGCUUGCAGUUGCAGCACCCGGUAGAGGAAGAUUGGAAUUGGAUCACCUUGAGGACGAUACGAGCUCAGGCGCGAGGAGAUCCGAUCGGCAGGCCAGUGGUAGAGUGGCAUACGAAGAGGCGGCGGCGCGGAGAGGGAUGCGGAGAAGAUCCGAUCGGCAGGGAGGCGAUAUAUUUGUGUGCCAACGGAUGUUGAGGGGCGGCCACGGUCAGGCGUGAUUUGUGGGAAGAAAAUGAAGGGGUCCC